CACGCUUCGAAACCUCGGCACAUCAGGUCACAUCACUAGUCGGCACGUCUGGUAGCAUCUCUGGCUGCUGUUGACCUUGUUUUUGGAGUAAAACACGGUGGAAGCUGAAUUAGUGAGGAUGACUCCUGCUCCUGUCAUCUCUAAGCUCCUCACACAUCUUUACCUGCACAUGAGGAAAAUCACUCCUGUAGAAUGCAGGGUGGGUCCUACCUAGACCAGGCUGAUCCUGGACCAUCCCACAGAUGCUCAAUCAGAUCUGGAUGUGGGGAGUGUGGAACCCAGAUGUUCAGAGGGAGAUGAUGCCACAUCUGGUCCAGCUGAUGGAAGGUCUUGAAGUUCUCUGACUGGCCUCGACUGAAGAUGGUCGUCUCACUGGAUUUAAGGUUCAGAUACUCAGUAACAAACUCCACCAAUGUGCCAACAGGGAAGCUUUAGGUUUAUUAAAUGUUGCUAUGAAGGUAUCACUGUUUUUCUUUGUGAAUGCAAUGUGCUCCAACUGAAACUUGAAUUACAACUUAAAAGUAAAUCCUUCCAUCUGAAAGGAUUUAGUUGCAUUAAUAACCUCAUAACAUUCUAAUUUUUAUUCCAGUCUUGGUUGGAAAUAGAAUCUCUGUAUUGAUUCAGGUAAAAACUGAACUUCACAGCAUGUUGGAGCAAAACAACCAGAUGAAAACUGUGAUGGUGUUGGAUUAUCAGACCGUAAUGUUGCAGCUCAAAGCAGCUUUUCUAGCUCAGUUCAUUCUGACAUUCAGCUAUGAAUCAACACAGCAGAUGGUGAUCCAUGCUGUGGAAGUCUCACAUCUCCUCAUUUAAUGGAGCUGCUUUGCACUUUUUACACUGUUUAUUCACCAACACUUUAUUUAAUAAAAGUCCCAUCUAGUUUUUAUGAGGAAUGUGAUGUUUUAAUUUCUCUGUGAAUAACUGCAGUCUAAUGCAACAGCUGGAGUUGUAACAUCUGU
ensembl:lncRNA